AAAGAGAAUUAAGAGCAUAUGGUGGAUGCCUUGGCGCAAAAAGCCGAUGAAGGACGCGGAAGGCUGCGAUAAGUCUCGGAGAGCUGUCACCAAGCGUUAUUAUCCGGGAAUUUCCGAAUUGGGAAACCAAAUACUGGUCAUGCAGUAUUAUCCAAGCUACUUUGUAGCUGGAGGGCGACGCAGGGAACUGAAACCUCUUAUUACCUGCAGGAAAAGAAAACAACAGUAAUUCCCCUAGUAGUGGCGAACGAAACGGGAGUAGCCCAAACUUAUAUUGUGUAAGAGGGAUCUGAAGCAUGAUUCGCGUUGCGAUGAUUGUGGAAGUGAACUCGUAGGCCGUAACUCGUGCAAUAUAAGUGUUAUAGGAUUACCACGCUAAUUUACGGAUUAGCAAAGAAGUUACAAAAUACAUAUUUAAUCGAACAUGCCUGGAAAGGCAGGCCAUAGAACAUGAUAGCUGUGUAGAUGAAAAGUAUGUAUCUUCUGGUAAUAUCCUCAGUACCACGGGACACGUGAAACCUUGUGGGAAUUUGCCGGAGCCAUCCGGUAAGGCUAAAUACUUUUUGCGACCGAUAGUGAACUAGUACCGUGAGGGAAAGGUGAAAAGUACCGCGGAGAGCGGAGUGAAAUAGCACUGAAACCGUAUGCUUACAAACAGUCGAAGCCCCGCUAACUUAUAGUUUGUUAAAUCGUUUUUAAUUAUCUUUUAAGGACUUUUUAAUGAUGAGUCUGUAUACUCAUCAUUUAUGUAUUAUGUGUAUGUAUUAAAAUCUACCAAGACGCGCAAGAAUAAGUUUUACGUUGGAGUAACCGCAAAUCUUUUGCGGAGACUCAGCGAACACAAUUCAAUGCUUAAUCGAGGUUAUACAAAAUCUAAUCACUGGAAAGUGGUGUAUGUUGAAGGAUAUGUGAAUAGGAUUUUUGCGUACGACCGUGAAGCCAAAUUGAAACAGUAUGGAGCAGUUUGGCAAGGCCUGAUGCACAGAAUUAGGUGCUCAUUGGAUACGCACAUUGUUGAUACAAGAGUCUAUAAAAAGGUAAAAAUUAGAAAAGGUGAACGAAUUAUAGGUUAGCGGGGUGACGGCGUGCCUAUUGAAGAAUGACCCAGCGAGUUAGUAUGUACAGCGAGGUUAAUCCCACUAUGUGGGGCGAGCCAAAGCGAAAGCGAGUCUGAACAGGGCGAUUUUAGUUGUAUGUACUAGACCCGAAACCAAGUGAUCUAACCAUGUCCAGGGUGAAGCCCCGCGAAAGCGGGAUGGAAGCCCGAACUCGUUAAUGCUGCAAAAUUAUGAGAUGAGGUGUGGUUAGCGGUAAUAUGCCAAACGAACUUGGAGAUAGCUGGUUCUCCCCGAAAUAGCUUUAGGGCUAGCGCUUCAGUUUAAACAAUGGGGGUAGAGCACUGAUUGGAUUUUGGGCCCGAAAGGGUACCAUAUCCUGUCAAACUCCGAAUACCAUUGUGAACAUUGGAGUAGUUAGAGCUAGAGGGAUAAGCUUCUAUGCUCGAGAGGGAAACAGCCCGGAUCGUCAGAUAAGGACCCUAAAUACCAUCUUAGUGGAAAAGGUAGUGAGAUCUCUUAGACAGCUAGGAGGUUGGCUUAGAGGCAGCCAUCCUUUAAAAAGUGCGUAAAAGCUUACUAGUCAAGAGAUGUUGUGCCUAAAAUGUAACGGGGCUGAAGAUGGUUUCCGAAGCUGCGACUUACCCUGCUAACUUAUGGUUUACAAAGUGCCGUUUUAAAAGCGGUUUUUCUUUGGAACUAUAGGUUAGCGGGGUGGGGGUAGGGGAGCGUUCUGUACGUCUCUGCUUUAUUGCAGAGCAUCGCUGUGAAGGUGGCCCGACAAGGAGCUGCUGGAGCGUACAGAAGUGAGAAUGCUGGGAUGAGUAGCGCAAAGUGGGUAAAAACCCCACUCGCCGAAUGUCUAAGGUUUCCAUGGCUAUGUCAGUCAUCCAUGGGUUAGUCGGUCCUAAGUUGAGGCUGAAAGGCGUAAACGAUGGACAACAGGUUAAUAUUCCUGUACUACUAAUAAAUUCUGAUGGAGUCAGGUUGUUGAGUAUGCAAGCCCCUUUUGGCUAUUGGGGUGUAAAAAGUUAGCUUAUGCCUCCCAGGUAAAUCCGGGAGUUGCUCGCGAGCUUUGAUGCAGAGGUGAACUUCGGGGAUCCGAUUUGUAGAGCUCAAUGGCCCAGGAAAAACUUCUAAGAUUAUUAUUUUCUUCGGAAUUUAUGAAAAUUUAUUGGUAACCGUACCGCAAACCGACACCGGUAGACUGGUGUAAAAGCACCAAGGCGUACGAGUGAUGCGUUGUUAAGGAAUUCGGCAAAUUAACCCCGUACCUUUGGAAGAAGGGGGGCCAUACGUCAUAUAUCUUUGGAUUUGUGGCGAUUAUGGUGGCACAGAAUUGGAGAGGACGACUAGUUACCAAAACUACAGGUGCCUGCAAACACGUAAGUGGAUGUAUAGGUGCUGACACCUGCCCAAUGCCAGAAGGUUAAGGAAGUUGGUUAUCGUGCUUUGGAUGCAUCUUCGGAUGCUCUGAGGCUGAGAAGCUGGUGACCGAAGCCCUGGUGAAUGGCGGCUGUAACUAUGAACCAGAUAGAGAAAAUCUAUCAAUUGUAGUUGUAAAAUUUGGCCAAAUGCUGGAAUAUCCGAGUAUCUUUGACUACUAACUGGAUAAUGAAUAUUAUCAGGAAGUGAAAAUGUCAAAGUGCGGACAAUCAGCAGGAAAGAUUCUUAUGAAAGAUAGUUCUGUUUGUACAGACUAUACGUCGGAUGCGAACUAUAUUUGCGGAUUUGCUGAUGGAGAGAGGAGUUUUUAAUAUUUCCUUCAAAGUCAGAAAAGAUUAUCGAUUGGGUGUGAAAAUUACUGCAAGUUUCAAUAUUUCACAAAAGGAACGUAAAAUUCUUGAUUUUAUUAGGAAUUUCUUCCAAUGUGGAACCAUUCGCCAUCGUGGCGAUGGUGUUUAUUACUAUGAAGUAACGAACUUGAGAGACUUGUAUGAAAUCAUAAUCCCUUUCUUUAUGAACUUUCCUCUUAAAACAAGGAAAGGAAAGACUUUUAUGGUCUUUGCUAAUAUAGUAGAGUUGAUGAUGGAAGAAGUGCAUUUAACGAGAACUGGAAUUCUGAAGAUAUACGAUAUGCGAGAGCAAAUCGUUGUUGGAAGAAAACGUAAGUAUUCGAAGAAUAAUAUUCGGGAAAUACUUGAUUCAUAAGAGAAUCCUCAGAGACUAUACGCCAGAUCUCUUGCCAAGAUAUUUUGGGAAGAGGAUGAUAUAGUCCGACCUGUAUGGCGACAUACAGAGAUGCUCAGAAAUGAAGUGUCCCAUUAUGACGAUGUCAAUCGGAAUAAUGAGUAACAAAAGUGAACGGUCCUAAGGUAGCGUAAUACCUCGCCACUUAAUUAGUGGCUUGCUUGAAAGGUGUAACGAUCCUCUCGCUGUCUUGACAGCGCGCUCGGCGAAAUUGAAAUGACUGUGAAGAUGCGGUCUACCUGUACCAGGACAAAAAGACCCCGUGGAGCUUUACUGCAACUUUACAUUGGUACAAGAUUACGGAUGAAGAGAAUAGGAGGGAGACUUUGAACUCGACUCGUUAGGGUUGGGGGAGUCGUCAGUGGAAUACCUCUCUUUUGUCAUUUUGUGUCUUAGUAUGCAAGUAAUCCUUGUGUAUGACAGUGUAUGGUAGGCAGUUUGACUGGGGCGGUUGCUUGCGAAAGAGUAACGCAAGCGCACAAAGGUUGACUCAAUCCGGAUGGAAAUCGGAUGAAGAGUGCAUAGGCAUAAGUCAGCUUUACUGUGAGGGGGACACCCCGAUCAGUUGCGAAAGCAGGUCUAAGUGACCCUAUAGUAGAUUAUGGUAUCGCUAUUGUUUAACGGAGAUAAGCUACCCCGGGGAUAACAGGCUAGUCGCGCCCGAUAGCCCAUAUUGACGGCGCGGAUCGGCACCUCGAUGUCGGCUCGUCACAUCCUGGGUGUGGAGAAGCACCCAAGGGUUGGACUGUUCGCCCAUUAAAGUGGCACGUGAGCUGGGUUCAGACCGGCGUGAGCCAGGUCGGUCUCUAUCCGGUACAGGCGUUGCAUGUUUGCGAGGAUUGACCCUUAGUACGAAAGGAUCAGGGUGAGGUAACCUCUAGUGCACCAGUUGUUCCGCCAGGAGCAUAGCUGGGUAGCUACGUUGCUAUUGGAUAAGCACUGAAAGCAUAUAAGUGCGAAGCCUGCCUCAAGAUGAAACAUGCUUAUUCGCUUUAAGCGAAUGUGAGGUCUGUAGUAGACUACUACGUUGAUAGGCUCUAGGUGUGAGUGUAGUAAUAUAUUUAGCCAAGGAGUACUAAUCGACCGAAAUCUUUUU
rnacentral:rRNA from 1 species